GACGGAGGCGGCAAGCGUUGUGCGGACUCACUGGGCGUAAAGCGUGCGUAGGUGGUGCGAUGCGUCGGCGCUGAAAGCGCCCGGCUUAACCGGGCGACGGGCGACGAUACGAUCGCACUGGAGGCAGGGCGACGUUGGUGGGAUUCCGGGUGUAGUGGUGAAAUGCGUAGAGAUCCGGAGGAAUGCCGGUGGCGUAAGCAGCCAACGAGUCCUGACCUGACACUGAGGCACGAAAGCGUGGGGAGCAAACCGG
rnacentral:rRNA from 1 species